rnacentral:rRNA from 1 species
UACGUAGGCAGCAAGCGUUGUUCGGAGUUACUGGGCGUAAAGAGUGCGUAGGCGGUCCUGUAAGUUUGGUGUGAAAUCUCCCGGCUCAACUGGGAGGGUGCGCCGAAGACUGCAGGGCUUGAGUAUGGGAGAGGUAAGCGGAAUUCCUGGUGUAGCGGUGAAAUGCGCAGAUAUCAGGAAGAACACCCGUGGCGAAGGCGGCUCUCUGGGACGGUACUGACGCUGAGACGCGAAAGCGUGGGGAGCGAACAGG